AACAAGGCGUACCUGCGGACCUGCGGAAGGAUCAUUACACAAUACAAUAUGAAGGCUGUCCGCAGCUGGAGUAUUUUAUUACCCUUGUCUUUUGCGCACUUGUUGUUUCCUGGGCGGGUUCGCUCGCCACCAGGACCACCAAAUAAACCUUUUUUAUGCAGUUGCAAUCAGCGUCAGUACAAACAAUGUAAAUCAUUUACAACUUUCAACAACGGAUCU
rnacentral:misc_RNA from 1 species